rnacentral:misc_RNA from 1 species
GCGGAGGAAAAGAAACCAACAGGGAUUGCCUCAGUAACGGCGAGUGAAGCGGCAACAGCUCAAAUUUGAAAUCUGGCCUCACGGUCCGAGUUGUAAUUUGUAGAGGAUGUUUCGAGCAUGGUCCGGCCUAAGUGUCUUGGAACAGGACGUCAUAGAGGGUGAGAACCCCGUAUGCGGUCGGGUGCCUACGCUCAUGUGAAACUCCUUCGACGAGUCGAGUUGUUUGGGAAUGCAGCUCAAAAUGGGUGGUAAAUUUCAUCUAAAGCUAAAUAUUGGCCAGAGACCGAUAGCGCACAAGUAGAGUGAUCGAAAGAUGAAAAGCACUUUGGAAAGAGAGUUAAACAGUACGUGAAAUUGUUGAAAGGGAAGCGCUUGCAACCAGACUUGGGCGCGGCCGAUCAUCCGGUGUUCUCACCGGUGCACUCGGUCGCGUGCAGGCCAGCAUCGGUUCUGGUGGCUGGAUAAAGGCCCUAGGAAUGUGGCUCCUCUCGGGGAGUGUUAUAGCCUAGGGUGCAAUGCAGCCUACCGGGACCGAGGACCGCGCUUCGGCUAGGAUGCUGGCGUAAUGGUUGUAAGUGACCCGUCUUGAAACACGGACCAAGGAGUCUAACAUCUAUGCGAGUGUUUGGGUGUCAAACCCAUACGCGUAAUGAAAGUGAACGGAGGUGAGAACCCUUAAGGGUGCAUCAUCGACCGAUCCUGAUGUCUUCGGAUGGAUUUGAGUAUGAGCAUAGCUGUUGGGACCCGAAAGAUGGUGAACUAUGCCUGACUAGGGUGAAGCCAGAGGAAACUCUGGUGGAGGCUCGC